AUUAGCUAGUUGAUGGGGUAAAGGCAUACCAAGGCGACGAUCUGUAGCGGGUCUGAGAGGAUGAUCCGCCACACUGGGACUGAGACACGGCCCAGACUCUUACGGGAGGCAGCGGUGGGGAAUAUUGGACAAUGGGCGGAAGCCUGAUCCAGCCAUGCCGCGUGUGUGAAGAAGGCCUUUUGGUUGUAAAGCACUUUAAGCGAGGAGGAGGAGCUUCAGGUUAAUACCCUGGAUGCUUGGACGUUACUCGCAGAAUAAGCACCGGCUAACUUUGUGCCAGCAGCCGCGGUAAUACAGAGGGUGCAAGCGUUAAUCGGAUUUACUGGGCGUAAAGCGCGCGUAGGCGGCUAAUUAAGUCAAAUGUGAAAUCCCCGAGCUUAACUUGGGAAUUGCAUUCGAUACUGGUUAGCUAGAGUGUGGGAGAGGAUGGUAGAAUUCCAGGUGUAGCGGUGAAAUGCGUAGAGAUCUGGAGGAAUACCGAUGGCGAAGGCAGCCAUCUGGCCUAACACUGACGCUGAGGUGCGAAAGCAUGGGGAGCAAACAGGAUUAGAUACCCUGGUAGUCCAUGCCGU
rnacentral:rRNA from 1 species